UCCAAGCCAAGGCAAUAUAUAUGGCCAAACCUCAAUGACACAAAAUAAUAAAGUCUAAGUCCUAUACAUGCCAUAUUCAAAAAUAUAAAUCCAACUAUACCGAAUGCUUCGGUUGCUAGUGUGAUCGAUAUUUCUGACUUUCGGUGAUCCUUGAGUUAGUUAGGCGGCACUGUAUGGAAAUGAAAAGGGAAAGGAGUAAGCAUAACAGCUUAGUAAGUUGCAUAUAAGUAAGUAUACAACAACAAUUUAUCAAUAAUCAACAUGCUCAUAACACCAAGGUAGGCAUAAGCAUAACUUACUCAUUACCAUCAAUACAAGUCACAUAUUAUAUAUUGAGCUCAUAUCUCAUACGUACCAAUUUGGUACCUGUACCACUCACAACACGGUUAUACUUUCUUCGUUAGCUUAAGAAUAUAACUUUUACUGUUGAACCAUUCGAAAUACUACCAGAUAUUACAUAAGCCUCAAGCAUAGGGUAAGGUGCCGAUGCCACGUCCUAGACACGGUCUUAUACUGGCUCAUAUCUCAAGUCGAUGCCAUGUCCCAGACAUGGUCUUACACUGAAUAUCACCUCGUAGCCGAUGCACAUCCCAGAGAUGUCUUACACUGGCUUACGUCUUGAGGCCGUUGCAUGGCCCAGACAUGUCUUACACUAGCCCUCGUCUCAAUACCGAUGCCAUGUCCCAAACAUGGUCUUACGUUGGCUCUCAUAAUGUGGUUGAUGCAUGUCCCAGACAUGUCUUACACUAGCUCACACACAAAUGACUCAAAUGUCAUGGCAUGAAUAUCCGAUUUACUUCCUAAGGUUCCAACGAAAAUUCUACUAUCUCAUUUAUCAUUAUACAUUCUCAAUUUCACAAUCAAGAAAUUUAUUCUAUAAUAAUUCAAGCACAUAUAAUUAACAAUGUAGUUGUAUUAAUAACAUACAACUUACCUCGGAUUACAAAAUGUGGCGACUAGCCGAUUUAGUUGGUUUGCUUAGCUUUCCCCCGAUCUAGGUUCGGACUCGGUAUUUCUUGAUCUAUAAUAACAAAAUGCACUUAUUAAGUCACUUUAUCAAUCUAAGCACUUAACAAUUCACAAUUAGGCUAAAUGACCAUUUUGCCCCUAGACUUUUGCAAAAUGACCAUUUUACCACUCCACCCGAAAAUCAAUUUUUAUCAAAUUUCUUUAUUUCUCUAGACUAACCGAACCUCUUUGACUCGUAUAACAACUCCAAAUUCCCACUAUUUCACACAUUUUCCAUCUAUUUUACAACUUAUGCAAAAUAGUCCCUUUAAGUGUUUUCAUGCUAACACCUUUCACAAAAGUUGUUUAUGUCACACCUAAGACUCUUUUCUUCCAUAAAAUUUCAAAAAACACCCUAGAUGCUCUCAUGGGAAAACCCUAAAAUUUCAACCAUUUUGCAAAAUAAACCCCUCAUUUGAAAGCUCAUGCUUCAAGGGUCUCAAAAGUACAAAAAUCAUCAACAAAGGACAUGGAAAUCACUUACUUGUGAGUGCUUCAAGUUGCUGAAUUAAGCUUUUAAACCCCCUUUAAUGGCUGAUUUUUGGUAGAGAAAGAAGAAAAAGGGAUGAUAUCAUCCUUCCUUUAUUUAUUUCUAUUUUAAUAAAAAAAUAAGCUACUUAACUCACCAAAUUUGAAAAUUUUGUCUCCUCUUUGACUCUAUGGCCGGCUAUGCUCCUAUAAAAGGGUAUAAUUGCCCUUUAAAAUCCCCCAAUUUUGAUUCGCUAAUAAAAUAACACCUUUGGCUACCAAAUUAGGACUUUUGCACUUUAUGCGAUUUAGUUCUUUUUCACAAUUGGGCUCACAAACGUUAAAAUUAGCUCACUAAAUUUUUCAUGCACUAAUAUAAACAUGCUAUGACUCUAUAUUAAUAAUAGAAUAAUUUCUCUGACUUUGGAUUAGUGGUCCCGAUACCACUAUUCUUACUGGCCCCAAAAUCGGGAUGAUACAAUUACUCUCAACAUCAUCAACCAUAGCUCGAUUAGGAUCCAUUAACUAUAAGAAAACACGUUUUAAACUGUCAGGAGAUAUCACACUAUCACAGGUUAUAUAUGGCGUGUAUAGCUAGACUCUUACAUACGCUACGUUAGUCUGAAAAUUAUAACACCCCUCUCCCGUAUCCGACACCGGGACAGGGUUCGAGGUGUUACUUACUUAAACUCAACCAACUAUAUAAAACCAGGCUGUGAAAUUUCAAUCAAUUUAAAAAUUUUCAUUUCACAUAAAUUUUGUCCCUUAAACGGGCUCACGAGGCCCAAAACAUGUGUUAGAGGCGGUUCGAGACUAAACUGAGAACUUAAGAAAAACUUGAAAAAUCUCAUGCUUUAAGGCUCUACACACAUGUGUGGGUAUAGACCGUGUAGUCACACACGCCCAUGUGGCUUGGGACACGCCCGUGCCCUUAGCCCAUGUGCAACACUGACUUUAAAACUCAGCCAUGACACACGCCCAUGGAGGCAGACCGUGUGUCACAAACGGUCUAGACACACACCCGUGUGUCUACCAUUGUAGACAAUUACAAGGCUAUUUUCCAAGCCAUUUGUCACCCUCACAACAUAUGCACACAUACUUAUCCAAUAACAUACAACAUGGCAUAAAUGAGAUCUUAAACAUCUACAAACAUGUUAUGCUCAUGUUAAAUUUCUGUGCAAUAAAUAUCAUAGAAUUUACUCACAUCAUUACCACAUACUUGUCAUAAUUAUCAUUACGUCACAAACCUCAUGCCUAUCACUAGGCAUACAUAAUCAUAUCCACAACCCAUUUAUGAGACAUUAUUAACUAUUUACUAAUCACUUAAUCUUGCAUCAGUUGCUAACUCAUCAAUGAGUCUCAAUUCAAUCUCUAGGCAUACAUGUUGUAAGCCACAUCACAAGAGAUAAUAACAUACAUGCAUAAGAAUAAUCAUUUAGGCCCAUAACGUCAUUAGCCGACAUAGGCCAAUUUACCCGACUACAUACUACCUUAAUAACAAGUCAAUACCUUUGGCUGAAUCAUAAUAUCACAUACUUAACAUUAAAACCCUAUACAUGCCAUUGACUCGAAACACUAGGAUUUACUUACGCCGAUAGCGUUAACUCGACAGUGUGAUAAUAUCUC
rnacentral:lncRNA from 1 species